CACCUAUCUUCAAUUGCUUUUUCAAAUUCAGUUUCUCACUCCUAUUCUUCCUCAUCUUCUUCCUCACUUAUAUUUUCGAAAUUCCUCCAUCAAAAAACCGGUGCUUCCUUCGUUCAACAAGUCCAUCUUUUGCAAUUGAAAAAUUCUUUUUCCUCUACUAUUUUUUUUACUCAUCUUCACUCACGUCCCUCAGCGAAAACUUUUAUUUUGGUCGGAGAUUGGUUGGAAAAUAGUCGGAAAUGAAAGGCAGGUAAUUUCCUCCCUUCUGCAAUCUAAAUUUCACAAAAAUUCCAACUAUCAUUGUGUUAGCCGAAUUUAUUCGAAACAAUCUGACUAUUUAAUCGUGUUGUGGAAAAAACAGUCAUAAUUUCUAACUUACAUGAUUUUAGUCGGAAAUCAGUUGAACAUUUUGAGUGAUACAACAACAACAAAAUACGGAGUUUUUAGACGGAAAAGCAUAUAGUUUGUAGACGGUUUUAUGCAUUAAAAUUUUUUUUUUCGACGGUUCAAAAAGCGUCUAAAAACUUGACGUCACAAAUCCUCGACGCUUGCUUUUAGAAGGUUUUUUGCGUCUAAAUUGGGUUGUUGGACUGAAUUUGGGGUGGAAAUCUUCAAGGCAACGUGAAGAGAUAAACCAGCGUUCAAUCCUUCCCAAUUUGAUAGCCAACAAACCCCAAACACAAUCAAAACGGUGAAUGCCUUCACAACAAACAGAACAAUACUACAAGGGUGAUUCUUGAAUUGAAAGACUAGGAGUUUUGAUCCUCCAAGGCCAACAAUUCCCUAAUUACAACCAAGGACUACUCUCAGUUGCAAAAGAUGAUGAUCUUGCACUACUCAAGAUCAUUGAAUGUACAUACACACUCAAGGAAGACCAAAGGAAUGAAAUCCAAUGUGUUGUUAUUUCUGAAAUCUUAAAAGUGAGUGAUUACAAGGCUAAGGCCAUCUAUAUGUAGACGUGAGGGACGGGGGAAAUACAAUGAGGCUACUAAUGACUCAAUAAACUAACUAUAACGGUCAAAAGAGAACUCGUGCAAAACAUGUGCACUUUAAAAAAAUGAAAAACAUGCCAAAAUAAGUACUCUGAUAUUCUGACAGACAUCUGUUAACCAGGCGACCUUUCACCCAUCAUCUUGUGCUCUACCAAUGAUUGAUGAUGGCCACUAUGAGUCCUGGCAGGAAGCUUCUAGUGCAAAGAUUCCAUUUCUACCCUUGGUGGUCCAAUAGGUCAGAAGAUACGCUCUGGUCAGGGCUCGCUAGGUCUGCUGGUCAAUGGAUGCCAACAGUUUUGUUCUGUUCUGUUUUGGACUAUCUGCUGACUGGGCGACCUUCACCACUGAUUUUCGUGGGCUGUCUGCGAUGUACAAUAAUGUUCUUGGGCCAAGGUACGAAGGUCCAUGUGCCAAGAUUUCAAUAUUACCUUCCACAACUUCUGAAUCCUUGGUUGAUCUGGGCAAGGUCUGCAAGGUCAGCUGGUUGCCAGUUCUCGUCAGACUCUGUUGUGCUGUUGUUUUGAGUUCUGUGUCUUCCUCUUCUGCUGUUGAAUUGCUUUGUUCUGCAUCCCUGUUUCUUGUAUGAGUCAUUUUAGAACCAUCCCAAGUUGGUUCAGUUGUUUUUCCGACGCUUAAGAAUGUCCAAAAUACGUUUACACGCCUAAUAAACACAAUUUGCAUGGUCACUUUUUAAGAUGCUUUUAUGUGUUUAAAAAACUUUAAAUAUAAUAAUAAAUAAAGAGUCAAAGUAUUUAAAUAGUUUUAAUACAACCAAGAACUAGUAAUGUCAAAAAAUUGCACUUCCUGUAUAUGUUACUUUAAUAAACCUUGUAAAAGUAAUUACAUAUAUGUUCAAAAUCAAAUCUAUGAUAUUCGAUAUUCAAAAAUUAUAUGGUAAAGAAAGGGGAUUCAAAAGCUAAAAGUUAACGAAUAUUCAAAAAUUUGUGUUGCACCAAAGCCCUGUUCAUGCCACCAGCCCCACAAGAGAACCUAUAUUCAUCCCUAGCAGCUUGCAAGUCAUAAAAUCACGUUUUUAGAGCUUCUCGGAACAUGUAGUUCUGGUAGCUUUGCUCAGUCAGGUUUAUCGCUAAAUUGAUUUCAUUUUCAAACACCCGAUCAGCAUAUGUAGAUGGCUCACCCGCUCUCAGAACAGAAUCUGCAGCAAGAACUUCUUCCAUCCAUGAAAUCUCUUUUGUGAGACGGAGAAUUGCUGCAUUUGCAGUUUCAAACACGAAAUUUGCAUCAUCUACAUCAUCACCAGCAUCAGCCAGGGCAGAACGUGUUGUAUCAGCAGAGAAUUCUUUAAUAGCUUCUCGUAAAGUCCUGAAGUUCCCAGUGGACUUGGACAUCUUCUCAGCAUUCAACAAAAUGUGUCCAUUACAUCUGAACCCACGGGGCCAGUGGCGUUUGUCCAUAAUUGUAGUGUGAUUAUAAAUGCUAAAUGUCAAGUGGUUCUGAAUAAGGCCCUUGCCAGACACCCGAAGAUCAAAAGGAUACCAGUAUUCAAAUUCCUGCUUCAUCUGGUUAAUCACAUUCGGAUUGAUAUCUAAAGACUGAGGAUAUGAACUACCACAAAAUAAAUAAUCCCAUACCUCAUCACUAAGUUGUUCUGGCUUUAUGGAACCGGUAUGAGAUGCAUACAUGUCUCCAUAUUGCAGAAAUGAGCAACGGUAUAAUAAGCCAUGAAUAUGGUAGAAUCAGAAAGGGACUCCACUAGAUACUGCUCAUCCCAAGGGUAAAUACAGUAAGAUAGUGAGGUAACAAGAUCUAACUAAAAUCAAGAAUUAAUCAUCAAAUAAGUAUAUAAUAUGGUACCAAUCUUCUAUAUCAACUCUCCAAGAUAACAAAAAUACAAUCCAACUAAUCAACCCCUCCCUAAAGAAAAAUGUAAAACAAGCACAACCACUCUAAAUUUCUCACCAAACACUAAAGUCAAUCAAUACAUAUCAAACAAAUGUAGUUUAUUUGAUUCAACAUAGUUCUAUAAAAUCAAGAGAUUACUGCAAAUACUACCUCAAGUUUUGGAGCCUAGCAUCAAAACGAGUUGAAUUCAUGACAGCAAAUCAUGAAAGUAUAAGAUCAAAUACCACCUGCAUUUUUUAAUUAAUGGCUGAUUUGCAGCUAGAGAGUAGCCCCAACUCCUACUUGGAUCCAAGACAGCAAUCAACCUACAAACAAUCAGAGCCAAUCAAAAGGAAUUCAAUGUCUGUAAUUACCCUAACAGUAAAAAAAAAAAAAGAUUAUCAAUGUUUCUUUUCACUUUAAACUUUCAUUGUAAAA